rnacentral:tRNA from 1 species
GGCCACGCAGAGUGGCUUGAUGCCUGGCGUGCAUCGAUCAAGGCUGAUCCGCAUGCGCCGUUGCUGCCGCUGCAACCGCAGUCG